rnacentral:rRNA from 1 species
UACAGAGGUCUCAAGCGUUGUUCGGAUUCAUUGGGCGUAAAGGGUGCGUAGGUGGCGCGGUAAGUCGGGUGUGAAAUCUCGGAGCUUAACUCCGAAAUUGCAUUCGAUACUGCCGUGCUCGAGGACUGGAGAGGAGACUGGAAUUCAUGGUGUAGCAGUGAAAUGCGUAGAGAUCAUGAGGAAGACCAGUGGCGAAGGCGGGUCUCUGGACAGUUCCUGACGCUGAGGCGCGAAGGCCAGGGGAGCAAGCGGG